CCCAGGUAGUGUUCCCCACCCUGAGAUUCAUAAAGUAACAUUAACUAAGAGUGGUGAUCUUAAUUUUUUAUGAUCUUUGUUGAAAGCGCUUUUCUUUGAGCAUGGUCUUUUGCUCAGAGUGAUCAUCUCACCUCUACUACAAUCUUUUGGUGGUCGCAUUUUGCAGCACCUCGUGCGAAGUUACAGAGAGGAAAACGGAGCGUAGCAGAGGAAAAAGAGAACCGGUACCCGUGUUGCAAGGAAACAAAAAAGUUAGAUUGACAUCGGAGCUGUGUUUUAAAACUGCAUUGAACUGCUUGUACUCCAAACAACUGAUAUCCUGGCUGGUUUUUUUUUGCAUGUUCGAUUCCUGAAGAACUUUCAGUCAUCUGCCACCUUCUGUCCCGGUCCACCUACGCCUCCAUCUUGUCCCCCUCCCCCCCCUUCGAGUGAAAAGACGGAUCGUCCCAUCCCAUCAUCCCCUUACCCCCCAAGUCAACCCCGUGAACUACAUUCCUGGACGUUACAGGGCGGUAGGACUGCCGAGUGAACUCAUUUGAAGUUUUUUUUUUGUUUUUUAUUGGAGCUCCAAGUUACAUCUUUUUUUUCCCUGAGAUCUCAGUGGUUUUUAUUUAUCUAUUUUUUUUAAUUCAGAACUGAAGGAAUAUUUUUAUGUCUGGAUUCAAAUUUUCUUUGCGAUUGUUGAGGUAUAAUUUCAUGUUGUGCAAUACAAUUGUUUUCACUUUU